rnacentral:lncRNA from 1 species
CUCAUUCUCCAACCACGUCCCUUGAUUACUCUUAAUCCUUUGCAAUCGAAGUUUCUUCCUUCUCCCUUUCACAAUACUAUGGAAGAACCUAGUAUUUCUGUCACCAUUCUCAAACUAGUCAUAUCCUGCCUUCUGUUGCCAGAAAAUCUCUUCAAAAUGAAGAUAUCUUCUAUGUUCAGCUUGCGCUCUUUGCAGUACUUCUCUAUUUUCAGCUGUAGGCACCUCAUCAAACAACUUUUCUUUAAUCUUCACAAUAUCUUCUCUAAUUAUGAGUUGCUUAAAAAUAUCACCAUAAGUAUCUCUACUCCAUUUUGUCAAUGCUGAUUUUACCUUCUUGAUAUUCUCUUUGAAAUCUAGGAAAGGAUUCUGAGAGUCACCGGAGGACCAAUUUUGUCUAACAAUAUCCUUGAAAGAGUCAUUCUCAGUCCAGAAUUUAAGAAACCUAAAAGGUUUCCUAUGUCUGUCCUCAGUAACUUCACACUGUAACAACAUAGGAGCAUGAUCAGAGCCUGUUCUUGGUAAAUGUUCCACCUCUGUAUGAUUAAACCAGUCUUGCAUUUGUUGAUUGAUUAGAACUCUAUCUAAUUUUUCGAAGAUACAAUCAUUACCAGCCCUACCAUUCCACCAGGUGAACGGACUCCCUUUAAAUUGUACUUCUGUCAAAUCAGAAGAUGAUAUGCAAUUCCCAAGUCUUCACAAUCAACAUCAUUAACUGGUAAACCACCAAUCUUUUCUUCUGAAUUUAGUACCACAUUAAAAUCACCCCCAAUCAACUAAGGGUUAUCCAUUCCUGCUGCCAUUUCAUAUAUAUCAUCCCAAAGGAGUAGUCUUUGAUCAGAAUUGCACUUAGCAUACACUAGAGUAACAAAUAAGUUGUUUGUAAGACUAUGAUGCUUUAAUGUCAUGGUUAAUUGUUGAU